AGGGGGCGGGGCCAGAGCGCGGGAGGCGGAGGAGACGGUUGAGCGUCUCUGCCGCGCGCGGGAUCCUUCCGCCAAACGGGCCGAACAAAUAGGCCCCCUGGCCGGAGCGUGAGUUGCAAAGUUGCUCGCGGGAGUUGGGGCUAGGGGAGGAAGUGUUGCUGUGCGCUGUGAGAAUGAGAUUGUAUCCCUCGGUGGAUCCUGCUCGCAGAGGCCAGAGGUUUACAGACCUGGCCACGUGAGAGCCCACCGAGGCAUUUUGGAGGUCCUGGAAUUUAUCCUUUAAGAUAAGUGUGGGGUGAGGUGGAGCUGGAUGAUAAUAAAGAGAAGUAGGUUGACGUAUUUUUAAUUCUGAUACGAUGGAUGUUGGGGGGAGAGAAAAACUUAUUUGGGGGCUAAGUUAAAAACAGAAAAGAAAAGCAACCCCUCACUACCACCCACACAUAUAUGCCAAAAUGUUAGCUAGUUCCUGUGAGUGGUGGGAAUAUGGGUGCUUGAAUAUCACUUUUGUGUGCGCGCGCUUCUGGAACCCCUGGGGGGUGGGGGGAACCCGUCCUCUAAAAUAAAAUGUCAUUCCUAUCUUUGGAUUAUCUUUCUUGAACUCGCAAAGUUAUGUAAUCAUCGGAACGGUUACCCUGAUUGCAGCCUGAGCCAAGUUGAACGAGAGCGUGCAGCAGAUAAAAGGAGAAUUUGCACAUUUCGCGCUUCGGGGCCCCAGGGCGGAAGAGGAAAGCGACUUUACGGAGGCAGGCUGUUCAGGCGGGUCCCGGGCUCUGCAGACUACCAGAGGAACUUAGGUGCGUCCCUCUCCGGCUCCUCAGCCUCUCCAAAUGCGUCCCUUUCCAGGGGGCCCCCAAACUGUGCCACCCCCCGGGGGCUGCGCGUCGCCUUCGGCUGGGUUUGGAAGUGCCGCCCACGCUGAGCAGACACAUCUGCUUCCUUUCCUGACCUUUCCGUUUAUCUGUUUCUUCCGGCAUUGCUUUACAAAGCCCCUUCCUUCCGCGGAGAGAUUCAUUUUGUUUCUCAAGACACGCUGGAUGCACGGAUUCCCUUUCCCGGAUGCCAUCGAGGUGACUGCCACCUGGGCAUCCAUUCACCCUCGACUGCUGAGGUUCAGGGCUCCCCUGACUCCUCAGCUGCACACUCCACUGUCCAGUCACCAACUCGCUCUCCCGUGCUAAGGCUGUGCCCACCAGAAGUCACACGAAGUCAGCCCAAGGCACUGAGCCCAGUUGAUGACUCUUGGGAUUGGUGCCCAGCGCUGCUGUGAACAUCUGCCUGUGGAGGUCACGAUGGCUCUUGCCCAACUCCAGGAGACCUUGGGCUCCUCCCGGGCAGGGUGUAUCAUUGCUAUGGCAUUUGGAGCAGGAGUAUGAAAGACCGAGAUUCACUACGUGGACAAAUAGUUAUGGAACACCUACUGUGCCAGACAUUGUUCUGGGCGGUGAAGCAGGGGUUGAGUAAGUCAGACAAGGCCUUUCUUUCAUGGAGAGUCAUUGGUAAGCCAGACAGACAAUAAACAAAGAUGCAAAUAAAAAUUUCAGCUUCUGAUAAGUGUCAGGGAAAAAAAGAAAAGAAUACUGAACUCAUUUUCUUACUGUGUGCCAAAAAUUAUCUCAUUGCAUCUUCAAGACAACCCCAGGGAGUAUGUACUAUUCCUAGCACCCCAUUUUACAGAUGAAGAAAUCAAGGCACAGAGAGGCUAAUUGCUGAAGGCCACACAGCUAGGAAAUAAGAGAGCAAGACUGGAACUCAGGACAGCCUGGAAGCACAGCCCUGUUUUGUAUUCAGUAAAUCUAUAUAGCAAAGACCCAGAGGCUGUCACAAGCCCUGACACACAUUAGACAUAGCAUCAUUGUGGAACCAGAUGGGAUGACUGGUUGAAACAUGCUUGCGCCCACAGUAAAUGUGCCAUGGUUUUCCCUAUGCAAAAUGGCAGGUGUGUUGACCUCUAUCCACAUCCUGAGGACAGGAGGACUUCAGCCUCUCUCCACCUGCUGUCCUCUCCAGGGUCCAGUUUUACCAGCACACACCUAAGUGAAUCAGCUGGCCCCAGAGUGACAGAACUCACCAGGGAGCCCAAGCAGCUGGCAGAGGAAGGAACCCGUUCCCUUCCUUUUUCUGCUGUGAUCCACAGUCUCUGCUUCCUUAGGGACCAGCAAGCAAAGCAGUUGGCCACAAAGUGUCCAACUUUGUCCUUUCCCUUCUCUGGGCCUCGAUUUGCCUGUCUUUAACAUGACAGUGGAUUAAAAGGUCCAUUUCAAACUGUCUUCUUGGAUCCACAGGGCAUUCUUAGGGGGCUGCUAAAGACAGCCUGGAGCUUACAAAAUAAGAUUAAGGGAGAGGGGUGAAGCUAACCUACUGAAAACCAACAAUAUCUCUGUAGACACUUGGUCUUGGCAGGGUAUCCCAGUGUCUAAAGGAAUGAGGCCAAUAAUAUGAAAUAAUUCAGCCAGCUAGGUGGGGACUGGGGUGAACUAGGGAGUCACAUCCCACUGGGGUGGUGGGGGGAGCCCUGUGGUCUUAGCUCCAGCCCACUGGGGCCUCAUGGGAAACCUGGACCCAGCGUGGCCAGAUCCUCUUGCAGAAAAACUUGGACAUAUGGAUUUUUGUGGGAAAUGUUCCAGUUUUAAAAUUUGGUCAUGAACUCAAACUCUUCAAAAACAGAGUGUGAGGCGGACAGUGGAUCUGUAGGCUACCUUUGGCCCCAGGCCAAUAGUUUGGGACUCUGUUCUGGAAGGUGGGGGUUGAACUCCCCCACCUCUUCCCACUGUAAUGAGCAUUGGGAUUGUUGUUAAAUGAUUGGAAGAAGUUGAUGAGGGUUGCCAGCCUGUCUAUAUCUCCCUCGAUAUUCUGGAGGUUUUGUACAAAGUGGGGAACCCUGGGGAGAAAUGUGGGUGCAAUCUCUCUGACAAAGUGCACAUCUUCUGGGCAGACACUGGCUUAAAAAAAAAGGAAGCAUCUUAAAAAGAUUUUUAACUGAUACAUAAAAACAUAAAAAUUAUGCACAUUAAUGGAGUAGCAAGUGAUGUUUGGAUAUGUGUAUAUGCUGUAUAGUGUUCAAAUCAUGCUAAACAUCUAUUUCCUAAACACUUAUGCUUUCUUUUUUUUUUUCUUUUGACAUCGGGGAUCAAACCCAGGGGCAUUCUACCGCUGAGCUGCACCCCAUCCUUUUUUCUUUUUUAUUUUGAGAAAGGGUCUUGCUAAGUUGCCCAGACUUGCCUCAAACUCGCAAUCCUCCUGCCUCAGCCUCCCAAGUAGCUGGGAUUACGGAUGUGCACCACUGCACCCAGCUAAAAACAAACUUUUUACUUCAGAAUAAUUUUAUAUUUACUGAGAAGUUGUGAAGAUGGUUUAGGGAGUUCCCAUGUACCUUUCACUCAAUAUCCCCUGGAUGUAAGCAUUUUAUACAAUCAUGUACAAUCAGUUAUUUUUCCUUUCUUUUUUGUGGUACUGGGGAUUGAACCCAGGGCCUUCCUUNUGUAUUCAGUAAAUCUAUAUAGCAAAGACCCAGAGGCUGUCACAAGCCCUGACACACAUUAGACAUAGCAUCAUUGUGGAACCAGAUGGGAUGACUGGUUGAAACGUGCUUGCGCCCACAGUAAAUGUGCCAUGGUUUUCCCUAUGCAAAAUGGCAGGUGUGUUGACCUCUAUCCACAUCCUGAGGACAGGAGGACUUCAGCCUCUCUCCACCUGCUGUCCUCUCCAGGGUCCAGUUUUACCAGCACACACCUAAGUGAAUCAGCUGGCCCCAGAGUGACAGAACUCACCAGGGAGCCCAAGCAGCUGGCAGAGGAAGGAACCCGUUCCCUUCCUUUUUCUGCUGUGAUCCACAGUCUCUGCUUCCUUAGGGACCAGCAAGCAAAGCAGUUGGCCACAAAGUGUCCAACUUUGUCCUUUCCCUUCUCUGGGCCUCGAUUUGCCUGUCUUUAACAUGACAGUGGAUUAAAAGGUCCAUUUCAAACUGUCUUCUUGGAUCCACAGGGCAUUCUUAGGGGGCUGCUAAAGACAGCCUGGAGCUUACAAAAUAAGAUUAAGGGAGAGGGGUGAAGCUAACCUACUGAAAACCAACAAUAUCUCUGUAGACACUUGGUCUUGGCAGGGUAUCCCAGUGUCUAAAGGAAUGAGGCCAAUAAUAUGAAAUAAUUCAGCCAGCUAGGUGGGGACUGGGGUGAACUAGGGAGUCACAUCCCACUGGGGUGGUGGGGGGAGCCCUGUGGUCUUAGCUCCAGCCCACUGGGGCCUCAUGGGAAACCUGGACCCAGCGUGGCCAGAUCCUCUUGCAGAAAAACUUGGACAUAUGGAUUUUUGUGGGAAAUGUUCCAGUUUUAAAAUUUGGUCAUGAACUCAAACUCUUCAAAAACAGAGUGUGAGGCGGACAGUGGAUCUGUAGGCUACCUUUGGCCCCAGGCCAAUAGUUUGGGACUCUGUUCUGGAAGGUGGGGGUUGAACUCCCCCACCUCUUCCCACUGUAAUGAGCAUUGGGAUUGUUGUUAAAUGAUUGGAAGAAGUUGAUGAGGGUUGCCAGCCUGUCUAUAUCUCCCUCGAUAUUCUGGAGGUUUUGUACAAAGUGGGGAACCCUGGGGAGAAAUGUGGGUGCAAUCUCUCUGACAAAGUGCACAUCUUCUGGGCAGACACUGGCUUAAAAAAAAAGGA
rnacentral:lncRNA from 1 species